GACGAACGCUGGCGGCGUGCCUAAUACAUGCAAGUCGAGCGGACUUUCAAGAAGCUUGCUUUUUGAAAGUUAGCGGCGGACGGGUGAGUCACACGUGGGCAACCUGCCUGUAAGACGGGGAUAACUCCGGGAAACCGGGGCUAAUACCGGAUAAUAUCUUUCUUCGCAUGAAGGAAGGUUGAAAGGCGGCGCAAGCUGCCGCUUGCAGAUGGGCCCGCGGCGCAUUAGCUAGUUGGUGAGGUAACGGCUCACCAAGGCGACGAUUCGUAGCCGACCUGAGAGGGUGAUCGGCCACACUGGGACUGAGACACGGCCCAGACUCCUACGGGAGGCAGCAGUAGGGAAUCUUCCGCAAUGGACGAAAGUCUGACGGAGCAACGCCGCGUGAGCGAAGAAGGUCUUCGGAUCGUAAAGCUCUGUUGUCAGGGAAGAACAAGUACCGUUCGAAUAAGGCGGUACCUUGACGGUACCUGACCAGAAAGCCACGGCUAACUACGUGCCAGCCGCCGCAGUAA
rnacentral:rRNA from 1 species